rfam:Bacillus sp. X1(2014), complete genome.
GGUUAAGUUAGAAAGGGCGCACGGUGAAUGCCUUGGCACUAGGAGCCGAUGAAGGACGGGACUAACACCGAUAUGCUUCGGGGAGCUGUAAGUAAGCUUUGAUCCGGAGAUUUCCGAAUGGGGAAACCCACUGCUCGUAAUGGAGCAGUAUCAUUACCUGAAUCCAUAGGGUAAUGAGGGCACACCCGGGGAACUGAAACAUCUAAGUACCCGGAGGAAGAGAAAGCAAAUGCGAUUCCCUGAGUAGCGGCGAGCGAAACGGGAACAGCCCAAACCGAAAGGCUUGCCUUUCGGGGUUGUAGGACACUCAAUACGGAGUUACAAAGGAACGGGGUAGAUGAAGCGGUCUGGAAAGGCCUGCCGUAGAAGGUAAAAGCCCUGUAGUUGAAACUUCGUUCCCUCCUGAGUGGAUCCUGAGUACGGCCGGACACGUGAAAUCUGGUCGGAAGCAGGGAGGACCAUCUCCCAAGGCUAAAUACUCCCUAGUGCCCGAUAGUGAACCAGUACCGUGAGGGAAAGGUGAAAAGCACCCCGGGAGGGGAGUGAAAGAGAACCUGAAACCGUGUGCCUACAAGUAGUCAGAGCCCGUUUAUGGGUGAUGGCGUGCCUUUUGUAGAAUGAACCGGCGAGUUACGAUUACAUGCGAGGUUAAGUUGAAGAGACGGAGCCGUAGCGAAAGCGAGUCUGAAUAGGGCGAUGGAGUAUGUAGUCGUAGACCCGAAACCAGGUGAUCUACCCAUGUCCAGGGUGAAGUCCAGGUAACACUGGAUGGAGGCCCGAACCCACGCACGUUGAAAAGUGCGGGGAUGAGGUGUGGGUAGCGGAGAAAUUCCAAUCGAACUUGGAGAUAGCUGGUUCUCUCCGAAAUAGCUUUAGGGCUAGCCUCACGUAGUAAGAGUCUUGGAGGUAGAGCACUGUUUGGACUAGGGGCCCUCAUCGGGUUACCGAAUUCAGAUAAACUCCGAAUGCCAAUGACUUAUCCGUGGGAGUCAGACUAUGAGUGAUAAGAUCCAUGGUCAAAAGGGAAACAGCCCAGACCACCAGCUAAGGUCCCAAAGUAUACGUUAAGUGGAAAAGGAUGUGGAGUUGCUUAGACAACCAGGAUGUUGGCUUAGAAGCAGCCACCAUUUAAAGAGUGCGUAAUAGCUCACUGGUCGAGUGACUCUGCGCCGAAAAUGUACCGGGGCUAAACGUAUCACCGAAGCUGUGGGUGGACACCUUCUGGUGUCCGCGGUAGGAGAGCGUUCUAAGGGCGUUGAAGCUAGACCGUAAGGACUGGUGGAGCGCUUAGAAGUGAGAAUGCCGGUAUGAGUAGCGAAAGAUGAGUGAGAAUCUCAUCCACCGUAUGCCUAAGGUUUCCUGAGGAAGGCUCGUCCGCUCAGGGUUAGUCGGGACCUAAGCCGAGGCCGAAAGGCGUAGGCGAUGGACAACAGGUUGAUAUUCCUGUACCACCUCUUUAUCGUUUGAGUGAUGGGGGGGACGCAGGAGGAUAGGGUAAGCGCGCUGCUGGUUAUGCGCGUGUAAGCAGUUAGGCUGGCAAAUAGGAAAAUCCGUUUGCCGUUAAGGCUGAGCUGUGAUGCCGAGGGAAUUUGAGUACCGAAGUUCCUGAUUCCACACUGCCAAGAAAAGCCUCUAGCGAGAUAAAAGGUGCCCGUACCGCAAACCGACACAGGUAGGCGAGGAGAGAAUCCUAAGGUGAGCGAGAGAACUCUCGUUAAGGAACUCGGCAAAAUGACCCCGUAACUUCGGGAGAAGGGGUGCUCAUUAGGGUGCAUAGCCUUGAUGAGCCGCAGUGAAUAGGCCCAGGCGACUGUUUAGCAAAAACACAGGUCUCUGCGAAGCCGCAAGGCGAAGUAUAGGGGCUGACGCCUGCCCGGUGCUGGAAGGUUAAGAGGAAGGGUUAGCUCACGCGAAGCUCUGAAUCGAAGCCCCAGUAAACGGCGGCCGUAACUAUAACGGUCCUAAGGUAGCGAAAUUCCUUGUCGGGUAAGUUCCGACCCGCACGAAAGGCGUAACGAUCUGGGCACUGUCUCAACGAGAGACUCGGUGAAAUUAUAGUACCUGUGAAGAUGCAGGUUACCCGCGACAGGACGGAAAGACCCCGUGGAGCUUUACUGCAGCCUGAUAUUGAAUUUUGGUACAGCUUGUACAGGAUAGGUAGGAGCCGUGGAAGCCGGAGCGCCAGCUUCGGUGGAGGCGUCGGUGGGAUACUACCCUGGCUGUAUUGAAAUUCUAACCCGCACCCCUUAUCGGGGUGGGAGACAGUGUCAGGUGGGCAGUUUGACUGGGGCGGUCGCCUCCUAAAGAGUAACGGAGGCGCCCAAAGGUUCCCUCAGAAUGGUUGGAAAUCAUUCGCAGAGUGUAAAGGCACAAGGGAGCUUGACUGCGAGACCUACAAGUCGAGCAGGGACGAAAGUCGGGCUUAGUGAUCCGGUGGUUCCGCAUGGAAGGGCCAUCGCUCAACGGAUAAAAGCUACCCCGGGGAUAACAGGCUUAUCUCCCCCAAGAGUCCACAUCGACGGGGAGGUUUGGCACCUCGAUGUCGGCUCAUCGCAUCCUGGGGCUGUAGUCGGUCCCAAGGGUUGGGCUGUUCGCCCAUUAAAGCGGUACGCGAGCUGGGUUCAGAACGUCGUGAGACAGUUCGGUCCCUAUCCGUCGUGGGCGUAGGAAAUUUGAGAGGAGCUGUCCUUAGUACGAGAGGACCGGGAUGGACGCACCGCUGGUGUACCAGUUGUCUUGCCAAAGGCACCGCUGGGUAGCUAUGUGCGGAAGGGAUAAGUGCUGAAAGCAUCUAAGCAUGAAGCCCCCCUCAAGAUGAGAUUUCCCAUAGCGUUAAGCUAGUAAGAUCCCUGAAAGAUGAUCAGGUUGAUAGGUCAGAGGUGGAAGCACGGUGACGUGUGGAGCUGACUGAUACUAAUCGAUCGAGGACUUAACCAA